rnacentral:rRNA from 1 species
CCUACGGGUGGCAGCAGUGAGGAAUAUUGGUCAAUGGGAGAGAUCCUGAACCAGCCAAGCCGCGUGAGGGAAGAAGGCACUACGGGUCGUAAACCUCUUUUGUCGGAGAACAAAACCCGGGACGAGUCCCGGACUGCGGGUAUCUGAAGAAAAAGCAUCGGCUAACUCCGUGCCAGCAGCCGCGGUAAUACGGAGGAUGCGAGCGUUAUCCGGAUUUAUUUGGUGUAAAGGGUGCGGAGGCGGUCCGUUAAGUCAGCGGUAAAAUUGCGGGGCUCAACCCCGGCGAGCCGUUGAAACUGGCAGGCUGGAGUUGGAGAGAAGUACGCGGAAUGCGCGGUGUAGCGGUGAAAUGCUUAGAGAUCGCGCAGAACUCCGAUUGCGAAGGCAGCGUACCGGCGCCACACUGACGCUGAGGCACGAAAGCGUGGGGAUCGAACAGGAUUAGAUACCCCAGUAGUC